AAUGAACGCUGGCGGCGGGCCUAAUACAUGCAAGUCGAACGAGUGGCGGACGGGUGAGUAAUGUCUGGGAACCUGCCCGAUGGAGGGGGAUAAUUAGUGGAAACGGUAGCUAAUACCGCAUACCAUCGGAUGUGACAUGAUUGGAUUAGCUAGUAGGUGGGGUAACGGCUCACCUAGGCGACGAUCCCUAGCUGGUCUGAGAGGAUGACCGGCCACACUGGAACUGAGACACGGUCCAGACUCCUACGGGAGGCAGCAGUAGGGAAUAUUGCGCAAUGGGCGAAAGCCUGAUAGAGCAAUGCCGCGUGAGUGAAGAAGGCCUUCGGAUUGUAAAACUCUGUCAGCGAGGAAGCGGUACUCAAAGAGAAAGCACCGGCUAACUCCGUGCCAGCCGCCGCGGUAAUUC
rnacentral:rRNA from 1 species